rnacentral:rRNA from 1 species
AUGAUGUGCAAGAUAUACUCCAGAUCACAAUCGGAGGCCAUGGUAUGGAGGAUGUUCCCGCCUGGAACUUUACAAAUAACGGGUCCGGUCGGCCUAUCACCUAUGCAUGGAAAAGAGGCGAGCAAGAACCGGACAGCCGGGCUCUUCGUCGUCGGUAGCGAAGCACCAGGGGUGGAUGGCGUUGUGGGGUGUCAAUGCACCUGGCAAAGCAAUUAUACAUGUGUGGAGGAUGAUGAAGAAUGGAUUAGCUGUAGGUGCAGAGCUUCUGCGGCGACACAUCAAAGCCGGGGUGUUCUGCCCGGCUUGUGGACGAGAGGAAUCAUUGUAUCACCGGUUCUGGUCUUGCUGGCACUCGGUGAGGUUUUGAAAGGAGUUGGGCUCGGUGUUGGGAGUGAGGGUGGCGAUCCCACCUGUCCCGGUGUGCUCCCAGAGUCGACUCACGGACGGGUUGUUACAGUGGCUGACAGAGGCGGACGAGGAUUCAAAGUCUAUGAUGAUACAUGGCCUUUACGCUUUGUGGCUUGCUAG